UGCCUCGUAGCGCAAUUGGUUAGCGCGUCUGACUGUUAUCCGGCAUAUCAGGAGGCUGUGAGUUCGAGUCUCACCGAGGCAG